ACAACAUGCAAUGCAUGACACAUUGGAAUGCAGUGUUAUCCAUGUGUAGAUGGUGUCUGGUAGACAUUAUGCACACUGGUGGUGCAUAGACUCUCUGAUGACACUUGAAGCUCGGCCCCUGAUGAUGUGGAGACGACAGCUUCGGUUGAGGUGUGGCUGUUUAUAAAGAGAGCAGCAGUUGACGGCCGCAUCUGUGGAUCAGCUCACCAACACACAGGGAUCUGGGUGGAUUCAUAAAACUCAGGGUUUGAAGUUUUGAAAUGGAUAGAUGCGGAGGAGGACACGGCCACGGUCAUGGCCACGGUCACGGUCACGGACAUGGACAUGGACAUGGACAUGGACAUGGUGGUUGCCAUGGUCACGGACAUGGUCAUGGUGGUUGCCAUAGUCAUGGGCAGGGAUGUGGACAUGGACAUGGCGGUUGCUGUGGACAGGGGAAGAGGUGGAGACGCAGACACAAGCGUGGGCACAAGCAUCGCAAAUGUCACAAGAAGGGGAAGGACUGUCACGGGUCCUCCAGCAGCUCCUGCAGCAGUGACUCUGACUAGAUGAAGAAUUCUGGAUGAAGCAAGCAACUACCUGGAAACCCUCCUCAUAUUACCCAAUACAAUAAUCAGUUGGUUUUGCAAUCCAGUGAUUGGUUAUAUCCUGCUUUUUAAGUCGAAUGCAUUUGUAUUGGCCUUAGAAAUGUAAACAAGCUUUUGUUAGACCAUUUCGACACACAAUGAGCCUCCACUAGUUGUGUAGCUUUGUUUUACAUUCUGAUUUAAUAAAUUCUGACAUUAAAACUAAGAUGGAUGGAUUCUGUUUAUGUUCUCAGGGCUGCUUGUUGGUUUUUCCUAACUUUUGUUUACAAUUAUUAUGUGAUAAUGGUAGCUUUCAAAUAUUUCUACUGGAGGUUUUGUCUUUGUUUCAUCCAGUGGAAAAUCCCAGCAGAGUGAAGGGAUGGAGCACUGCUCUCUGUAGUGCCAGUCUCAAGAAAGCCACUGAAUGGCGCCAGAGUUUCAAGUCCUUCCAACAGUGGCUUCAGAAGUGGCUCUAACUAACACAGCAUACGAUGCCUUUGAUUGUGUUUUUCAAGUCUUACUUUUGUAAAAGUGGAAAAGUAAAAUUUGCAAUAUGAUGAUAUGAGUUAGCUGGUUUUCUUGUAAGUGUUGCUUAUCUGGUGCCUUGUGGAGACACUCCACAAAAAUUGUUGGGAGUUCAGGUUCGGCCCCUGAUGAUGAGUGUUGGAUUUCAAGCUCAAGGUGUGGCUACAUAUAAAGGCAGAGCCAGCUGUCUGCUGCGUCUGUAGAUCUACUCUUCAAAACACAGUAAGUUUACGAGCAGCUAUCUAGGAAUGAUUACCAGAAAGUAUGUGCAUACACGCAUGUUUGUGAGCAUGUGUGUCUGUAUGUGUGUGUGUGUGUGUGUAUGUGUGUGUCUGUGCGCUCUUGUAAAAUAGUGUUAUGGUGACAUAGAACUGUUUACACAGCAACACAGCGUGGACUCGUCUUCCUUUCAGGGACUAAACACAAGAUGUAUGACAUUUAUUAGGUAGUGAGAAGUAGAAAAUUUUUCUUUACAGUCACGUGAGACUUGACUUUGUCAUAUAACAAAUUAUAUGCUGCAGUACCACCAACCUGCACUGCCUGUUCAGUAAUAUUUUGCCUAUUCUACAAUAGAUUGGUGCUGCUUUCUGUCUCACUGUAGAGUAUUGUAACUGUGACAGAAUGCAAUUUACAUUCUCGUGUUAAGAGUUACUUUGUGUUCAUUAGGCUCUUUCAGUUUCAGGGUUUGGAUCUAAAAUUUUGAAAUGUUUGGCCAAGGCAGAGGUUACCAGUGGCCCCCAGGCUGUCCUCCUCCGCCGGGCCCAGGACCAUGUCCCCCACCACCUGGCCCACCAUGUCAGCCCUACCCUCCUCCACGUGGUCCACCUGUAUGCCCAGGGCCAGGGCCAGGACCACGUCCCCCGCCACCUGGCCCACUAUGGCCAGGACCACGUCCUCCAUCCCCUGGCCCACCAUGCCAGCCCUAUCCUCCUCCAUGUGGUCCACCUGCAUGCCCUCCUGUAUACCCACCUUAUGAAGGGCCAGGGCCAGUAGUACAUCCUCCAUCCCCUGGCCCACCCUACCCUCCUCCAUGUGGUCCACCGUUAUGCCCUCCUGUAAACCCACCUUGUGGAGGGCCAGGGCCAGUAGUAUGUCCUCCAUCCCCUGGUCAUGGUCAUGGUCAUGGCCAUGGUCAUGGGCAUCACGGCCAUGGUCAUGGUCAUGGUCAUGGUCAUGGGCAUCAUGGUCAUGGUCAUGGGCAUCAUGGUCAUGGUCAUGGGCAUCAUGGUCAUGGUCAUGGGCAUCAUGGUCAUGGGCACGGGCAUCAUGGACACGGUCAUGGUCAUGGUCAUGGGCAUCAUGGUCAUGGCCACAGGCACAGGCAUGGUCACAUGCAUGGACAUUGUCACAAAAAAGGAAAGAAGUGUCAUGGGUCUUCCAGCAGCUCCUGCAGCAGCGACUCGGACUAGAUGAAGAUUUCUGGAUGAGAAAAGACAAGUUGCCACCUUUCCUCAUAGCUACAAAAGUAGUGACAGUUGCUUCAGCCAUCUAUGCUUUAAAGCAGGACUGCGUUAUGUUUCACACUAUCAGGAUUUAAAUCAAAAACAUUGUUUUGUACAAAGUAUUAAACCAAAAAAGUUUAGUGCAGAAAUAGGUCUACAUGUACCGUUUAUCAUUUAUGCAAUUGUAGUUGCUUUUGCUUUUAAGAAAUGACUUUACCAGCAGUUGCAUGAUGUAUGCAAGUAAUAGGCUUGUUAACUGACUGCAUUAGAUGAUGAGCAUAACUGUUCUGUCACUACAUAAAAAUGGUUUCUGUUCAUGAUUAAACAAAUAUCCACAAUUUUGCUUCUUUAUUCUCUGUCUCAUUUGACCUCUGUUGUUUCUUAUUGCUUUGCCU
ensembl:lncRNA